rnacentral:lncRNA from 1 species
UUUUUAGAUUUUUGAUGUGUUAUGUAUGUACUAUAGCUAGUAAAUAUGCUUAAUUCUGAGGCAUUGCACUCUAUGAGGUUGGAGGGUGAAUCAUUCAGGACUACUCACUUUCUAUCGUCAGAUUGGAACUGAAUUACUAUGUUGAAGUGAUUGCACUUAGAAGGCAUGAGACAGUGCAGAACUGUAUCUAGGCCUUUUGUUAAAUGCAAGGCAUCAUUGCUUGGCUGUAUGUAAUUUUGGUUCCACACAUUUACGUAUUUCUU